CCCCUUGACCCGUAAGCCAUAUCGUUAUUCAUAUCCAUGACAUGGAACACAGCCGUCCAUAAGUCUAAACACUAUACUCUGUUUUUAUAUGUGUGUAUUCAUAUUGGAAUAAGAUAAAGGACUUUGCUUGAAGGUAUAUCGCCCUCCCUUUACAGCUAUAAUAUAACAGCAUAAAAAGAUAAAUGGUUUAACCGUUAAUGGAUUAACGACACACAAAGACCGGAACGCCAACUAAAAGUCCAUUUAACCCUUUGUAAACCUAGAACUGAAAAUGACAAGUACACCCGAUCCUGACUAUAUGUCAGCAGUAGGUGUAAGAUAUAACAGUGCUAAAUCAGCAAGAAUGUCAACCAGGCGUAAUCUUUCAAAAUCUGCCCCACCUUCAAGAACACAGUUUAGUCUGAAACGUCAAGAAAGCAAAGCUGACAUUUUAGAUGGUAAACUAAACAGAAUGCAAGAGCCCCCUCAACUUCACAGAGAGAAAACACAAGUUCUGGAUGAGCUUCUACUUUUAUACGGCGUCAAUUCUUAUAAAUAUUUUAACUUCGGUAGAAUGACAUCAACGUGGAUAUCAGAAAUUCGACCAAGGAUAGGUACAGCGUGGUUGUGUGAUAAUGAAGCUUUUCGACAAAUGUAUUCGACUUCAGUAAUUUAUCCAAAAAAGAGACUAGUGAGUGCAUCGCGUUCCAAACUCACUUUGCCAACUGUAUCAACGCCAAAAUCAUCACCAUCUCUAUCACCUUUACAUUUAACAACGAGGGUCUAAACUUAUACAUUCCUCAUCUCAUGGGCGACUUUUACUGUUACUAGUAUUUAAUAGAUCGAGUUUUGGCCUGACGAUCAGUGAUGACCGGACCGGCAACCAUCUGACACCUGCCAUUCGAAAUUAAAGUUUUGGAGACGAAACAGCAAGCCGUUUACACAAAUAACAAUUAUUACAAAGACAUAACAACACAGAUAAAAUGGUGUGUUUGUUAAUAUGUUUUGUUGCCACGAAUAAACAAUACGCAUCUUGAAAUAUACAUUAUUAACUGUCAAUAAAGACGCAACGAUAAUAGAAUAAAAUUAUGGAUUAAGUGCGCAACCUGUCAAUAUUUCGCUUCAUGAAACAAUAUGCGGUAUUUUUAAUGGCUGGAAUAAAGGACUUGGAGGGGAAUAUUAAUGGUGUCGAGAUCGGUCGAUAUUGCAGACUCGAACACAAGUUGUCAAUUACCGGUUCACUCGAUCGUAGAUUAUAGAGUCCCCGAUGGAUGAACGACUUCUUACUAAACAUUGCCUGAUCACAGCAUAUAAAGUUAUACUUAUAAUAAAUGAAUAUUGCAUUCGUUACAUGUGUGUUGUCUAAUAGAGAUAUAAUUGGAAAUAUCGAUCACUAGUUGAAGAUAUGAUAUUUAUGUUUAUACUAUUUGAUUAGCGCUAUUCAAAUACAUGUAUAACCAAUCGAAAUUCAAAUUCACAAGAAGUGGUUAUUCGUGAGGAUUUGUGAUUUGAGAAUAUAAAGCAAGCCACCUUACUCAAGUUCCCCCACUCGAUGGUAACGAAACCCACAAAAACAUCGAUACCAUCUGCAAACACAAUGACAUUUGUUUAUUGGAAAUUCAUGUAUAUGGUUUAACAUAAUAUACGAUACAAUCCUACCACAAAGACGUAUCAAAGUGCACACUGACCAGAAAUGUAGGCUCAAUUUUUAUUAUAGAUCAGAUAACAAAAUGGUAUAAAAGUAAACAAUAUAGCUUAUUUAAAAGGGGUUCUAUUUUUCCUAUUAUUGUGAUGUGUAAGGAAAUUGAUACGAAAGACACGAUCCCGGUUUUAUUGCUACGAAAGCUUAUCAAGUAUCACUGUUUGUAUCAAACGAAUGACCUUGAAGUAAUCAAUCAAAUAUGUAUCUGAAUUUACAGUUUCCACACUAUAGCUAUUUAAAUGGCAUCCAACUAAUACUGCUAUGGUGCAAAGAUUAAUGUGGUUGAGUAUUGAAUCAACGAUACCCCCUCCAUAGCACUUCAAUAUGUUCACUGAUUAUCUUGUCAAGAAGCCGAACAAUAUAAAGCAUUCGUCAAAUAAUUCUAAAAGCAAG